AUGGACAAUCCCACCAGAUUGACCACGUUGCGGGCUUUGGUCAGUGGUGUGUGUGCCCAGUGGUUGGAGCACACUAAAGUGGAGGAACAGUGUUGUCGUCAACUAUGGAUUCAGAUCCUGAGAGUUCUGUCAGGACAGGGUGAGACACUGAGGCAAAAGGCAAAUUUAUCUUAUGAUAUUAUGAGUCUUGGGGAUUAUAAGUGCCAUUCAACUAUUCACUCUCAUGAGAAAGACGGGUUGGCGCUUACUGAUGCAACAACCAAUGCAAACAGGUUUGAACCGUCCGUGCCUACUGUUGCCCCAACGACUGUGGGCAAGAAAGGUCUGGAAGAAGCAGAACCCUUUACUAGGAACAAGGACGUCUUUUGGUGA
rnacentral:rRNA from 1 species